rnacentral:lncRNA from 1 species
ACAGCUGCCACCGCCGCCGCCGAACUCACAGUCGGAUUUCGUGCAAUCUCACAGCCGCCGCCGCCGAACUCACAGUCGGAUGUCGUGCAAUCUCACAGCCGCCGCCGCCGAACUCACAGCUGGAUCUCGUGCGAUCUCGCUGCCUCCAACGUACGGAAGUCUUCACUGUAUGGGAUCGCCGCCACGGUACUGGAUCGCCGCCGCGGACGUAAGAGGCUGAAGCGCGGCGGGUGGGACAGGGUGUGCGUCGCGUUGCUGGAGAACUUCCUCGAACGAACGCUGUGGUGGUGCCAUUGUCCAUUGAUCUGGACGUCGGUAGGAUCCUGCUCCAAUCAUCCCCUUCUUUCUUCCCACAAAUAUCGCUAUGGCAUCUGAUUUUGCACAUACGUACCAAAGCUGAUUUUGUACACUGUUGUUGCGAGAUCGUUAUCCCUUAUUCUUAAUUUUUGCAGGUAGAAAAAUUGAGGGAAAUCAAAGUCAGAAGAAUUGAAAAUACUAUGCACUGUGUCUACAAAAAG